GCAUUAGAUUCACUAAUUUGAAUAAAACUAUUACCCAGGCCAAAGGGGGGACUGUGUGUAUUCAAAAAUAUACAUGUAUAUACUUAAAUAUUAAUAUAUAGGAACAUAAACUUAAAGAACAUAAGGAUGUAAAUGGAUGUGCAUAUUAUUGUAUAUAUACAAUCAAGGAGACAGAGACAUUCUUUUAUUGUAUUUUCAAUGCAGCUGAAAAGCAAUUGCAACUGUUUGACCCUUGAUACUGCUUCCAUGUACUGAGUCAGUUAAUAAGGACACAUCUCAGACUCUCAUUAUUUCUUACAUAUUCGAGGUUUCUUUAGACUCCCCGAAUGCUUAUAUUCUCUAGGAGAAGAGAUGGGAAAAUUAGACAUUAGACAAAUUUAGAUGCUCUGCGUUCAAUGUAACUGCAGAGGCAGAAAUGAAUAACUUCACUCUUCAAGUCUGGUGUGACGGGAAAUGCAGCAUCACUAUGGAGACAAACCUCUAGGCACGCCUGCGAGAGCAUUUCUGGAUUAGCCUAACUGAAGUGGGAAGACCUGCCCUAACUGGAGCAUCACUUUAUGGGCUGAGACUCCAGACUGAGUGAAAAGGAAGAGAGUCAAGCGUGAGCACACGCCAUCUUUGCUUCUUAUGAGAUGCAGUGUGACGGCUGACUCAACUUCCUGCUCCAAGCCACCUCCUCCUGCAGGAUGGACAGAUCCCCAAACUGAAGUCAACUCUCCUCUCCCAGCUGCUUUGUCAGGAGCAACAUUCAAGGAAGGACAGAUAAUUCUGAAGUAGAAGACAGGAGAGGAGAAAAGGUAAUGGACCCUCAAGGCAAGGCGACUUCGUUGCAGCAUGGUAGCCGACCAUCAGCAGCCAGCAUACAAGAGCAUCAGGAGCACAGUGCUGGCUAGAUUUGUGCAUGGGCUGCAGUCACUGCAUCUGACACUCAGAACCAAUGGAGAAAUGAUGAACUAUUUGAUGUGCAAACUGGAUUCUUAGGAAAAACAAUCAUAGGACUGGGGAAUGUCUCAGUGAGUAAGACGGCUCACUUGAGCAUGCAGAUCUGAGUUCAGCUCCCCUAUGCCCACAUAAAAGCUGGGCACAGCAAUUCUAGUCUGUAGAGACAGAUGGAUACUUGGGGCUCACUGGCUGUCCAGUGUAGCCCAAACAGUGAGUUCCAGGUUCAGUGAGUGAUCUUGUCUCAAAAAAAUAAGUUAGAGAGCAAUAGAAGAGAGCAACUAACAUUGACCACUAGUCUCUGCAUGCACAUGAACGGGUGGACACGUGUGUCACCUGCUUAUACGUAUGUACACAAAGAAAAAAACAAUUAUAACCCUGCUGUCUCACACACAAAUACAUCAAAGACCUAAAUAUGGAAAAUAAAAGGCUAAAUACAUGACUUCAAAAGUGACUAAAUUAUCUUCAUCAUUUCAGUCUGGGAGUGAGAUUGUAAAAUCAACAAUAACAACAAAUACACUUCAAAAAUUGAGAUUUCCUAGAAUUUAAAUCUUAUAUGGAAAAAGAUACCAUAAUAAGAAUAGUCAACUGAAAAAUGCACUUUAGAUAUAUAUAACAGAAGUCAUAGGACUUGUAUUCAGAAUGUAUAAAUAACUUGAUAAAUUAGUAAGCAAGACAUGAGUAAUUAAAAAGACAAGCAGGCAUAAAAUACUAAGAAGAAAUUUCCAGGCAAUAAAAAGUAAAACCAAAGUUAGUCAAGCAGGUAGUUAAGACCACUUGAAUUGAAAUAAGAGAAAUAAAACAUACAUUUAUACAAAGACUUGCAUUUUACUUGUAAUUGCUACAGACUAGAAAGCCAAAUCCCACUGGGAGAGGAAUAUACAAGAUACAAGCCAUUUGUAUGUGAAUAGAGAAUAAGCACAGAUACCCAACUGCAAGACAGACUCACCCGGAAUCAUUUCGAUGAAUGAGAAAAGCCUGGCAAAAGAUACAUGAUUCGCCAUCUCGUUUAUGACAAAAGUCUAGAAAAUGCAGAGAACGUAUGAUGAGAGGAAGAGACCCAUCGUUGCCUGGUAUGAUGUCUGUUAUUGGUAGAGCUCAGAACCUCAACAGUAUGCUUUCCCCACCUCCCAGGACCUGGGCUACAGAGAUACCUGCUAUCAGAGCUCUCAGUCUCAAAUCUCACCUGCUUUGAGUACUUUGCUCAUUAGCUGAAUUGCAGUCCCUGCAGCUACAGGGCUUACUCUGAGUUCUUCAUGCCCACAUCCCUCUUUGAUCCCAGGAACUCUCAGACACAGCAGAGUAGGUCUACCAGGCAGACAUGGGCUAUCCACUUUUUAAAAAAUCUCUAUGGCUUCUCCCUCUGAUAUUUACAUUUUUUGAAGAGCUAAUGUGAUGAAAUCAGGCCCAUCUAGUUAGCUUUCUCUUUGAUGAGUUGACAGUUGUAAGAGACCUUCAUUAUAUAAUAUAAUCACUGGGAUUCUGGGCUGUCAUUUCACUGCCUUCAGCCACAUUCAAGGUGACCAGAGUAUGUUUACCAGGAAACCAGAAACUUGAAAGUUGCCUCAGUGCAAUGUUUACUACACCUGGGGCCAGAGCCAGGGAGAGAUUUCAAGUCUUGCUUUAUCUCAGUCUUUAACUGCUGUCUACAUAAGAUGUCUUCCUCGUUUAAAAAGUGGAGAUGUUUUCCCUCUGAUACAAUGGAAAUGUCAACAGCCUACCCUCUUUCACUGUUCUGUUAUGCAAUUACAAGAAAACAAACUUGUUUGGGAGAUCAACAAGGCCACUGUCUACAGGGAUUUAAAGGGAACAAAAGAUUUCAGAAGAAAUGGAUUACAAAGAGUUAUGAGAAAAUUUGUGGAGACAAUGGAGAUAUUUAAUUCCUUUCCUGUGGUGCUGAUUUCUUGUCUUGAAGUUGAUGAGAUUAUACCCUUUAAGCAAGUACAGUUUAUUACUCAAUAUGACUCAACAAAGUUGUUAAUUACAUUCAAACAUCUGAAACUACUAGAUAUAUUGGCAAUUGAAAAGUUUGAGAAUAGUGGAGUAGGACUACAUAAACGAGGUGGCUCUGACCGCAUCUUAAAAAAAUAAACGUCACUGUAUUUUAAGA